GAUGAACGCUGGCGGCGUGCCUAAUACAUGCAAGUCGAGCGAACGGACGAGAAGCUUGCUUCUCUGAUGUUAGCGGCGGACGGGUGAGUAACACGUGGGUAACCUACCUAUAAGACUGGGAUAACUUCGGGAAACCGGAGCUAAUACCGGAUAAUAUUUUGAACCGCAUGGUUCAAAAGUGAAAGACGGUCUUGCUGUCACUUAUAGAUGGAUCCGCGCUGCAUUAGCUAGUUGGUAAGGUAACGGCUUACCAAGGCAACGAUGCAUAGCCGACCUGAGAGGGUGAUCGGCCACACUGGAACUGAGACACGGUCCAGACUCCUACGGGAGGCAGCAGUAGGGAAUCUUCCGCAAUGGGCGAAAGCCUGACGGAGCAACGCCGCGUGAGUGAUGAAGGUCUUCGGAUCGUAAAACUCUGUUAUUAGGGAAGAACAUAUGUGUAAGUAACUGUGCACAUCUUGACGGUACCUAAUCAGAAAGCCACGGCUAACUACGUGCCAGCAGCCGCGGUAAUACGUAGGUGGCAAGCGUUAUCCGGAAUUAUUGGGCGUAAAGCGCGCGUAGGCGGUUUUUUAAGUCUGAUGUGAAAGCCCACGGCUCAACCGUGGAGGGUCAUUGGAAACUGGAAAACUUGAGUGCAGAAGAGGAAAGUGGAAUUCCAUGUGUAGCGGUGAAAUGCGCAGAGAUAUGGAGGAACACCAGUGGCGAAGGCGACUUUCUGGUCUGUAACUGACGCUGAUGUGCGAAAGCGUGGGGAUCAAACAGGAUUAGAUACCCUGGUAGUCCACGCCGUAAACGAUGAGUGCUAAGUGUUAGGGGGUUUCCGCCCCUUAGUGCUGCAGCUAACGCAUUAAGCACUCCGCCUGGGGAGUACGACCGCAAGGUUGAAACUCAAAGGAAUUGACGGGGACCCGCACAAGCGGUGGAGCAUGUGGUUUAAUUCGAAGCAACGCGAGGAACCUUACCAAAUCUUGACAUCCUUUGACAACUCUAGAGAUAGAGCCUUCCCCUUCGGGGGACAAAGUGACAGGUGGUGCAUGGUUGUCGUCAGCUCGUGUCGUGAGAUGUUGGGUUAAGUCCCGCAACGAGCGCAACCCUUAAGCUUAGUUGCCAUCAUUAAGUUGGGCACUCUAAGUUGACUGCCGGUGACAAACCGGAGGAAGGUGGGGAUGACGUCAAAUCAUCAUGCCCCUUAUGAUUUGGGCUACACACGUGCUACAAUGGACAAUACAAAGGGCAGCGAAACCGCGAGGUCAAGCAAAUCCCAUAAAGUUGUUCUCAGUUCGGAUUGUAGUCUGCAACUCGACUACAUGAAGCUGGAAUCGCUAGUAAUCGUAGAUCAGCAUGCUACGGUGAAUACGUUCCCGGGUCU
rnacentral:rRNA from 1 species